rnacentral:lncRNA from 1 species
CAAAUCUAGCCCGCUAAAAUCUCUGAAUACAAUAAGGAAAUAUUCUCAACGAUUAUCAUUAUGUCUUUUUUAUUUGCAGAAACCUAAACGAACCGUAACAUCGGACAGUAUUGACUACAGUUUGAAUUACAAGACAGAAAAAAAGCAACAAAUUGCAGACGUCCAACAUUCUUCCUGCUCACAUGCUUACAUCUUGUGGCGUCGGAUAAAUAGCCAGUAGCCAAGUAUUGAUGUAGCCGUAGUGGAAUAACUGGGAAACUCAUUAUUUUAUCUUUGAAGGAAAAUGUGGCCUUCGGUAUUGUUCAAGGACAGUUUCUAGAGGAUGAAAUAAAGGACUCGUGGUAAUACUAUACAGACCACCAUUAAGAUGAAUGCCAAGACAGCAGUAACAUCGGUCAAAUAAAUAACACGUUGAGGAAUUCCAUAGGUGCUGUUUAACAUGUCAUUCUAAUGAUGUAACAAUUUUCAUGGAUCAUGGGAAAUGAAUAUUCUAUUCAGAAGGACAGUGCAGGUUGUUGUAAUGCUAAAAAAACUGCUUGUUGGAUUGUCAUCGUUGGACUUCAUUACUAACGUCAAUCUUUUCACGCAUUUGAGACUGAACACUUAAUGUUUUCCAGUGAGAAAUGUUUCGGCACGGAAUUACGUACACUAAUAAUAUGGAGAAAAAAAGGAUGAAAAACGUUUUUCACACGAUCUAUAAUUUCAGUGUUGCAUUAAUUAUUUCCGAAUUGGAAACAUUCAAGAAGAAACAUGCAGACUUGAUGUUUAUACGCGGUUCUUUUUAUUCUCGUGCCACUUUACAUAUUCGAAGUUUAUAAAGGUCCAUUUGAUUUCAAUAUAAUGUUUGUGAUUGAAUUGUGUAUUAAACUUCAAAUAAACUUCAUAGUUGCA